GACAUGAAGUGGCUGCUGCCUGAGGGAGAGAUCUCUACUGAGAGAGUCCGGGAGUUCUGCCAGUCCUUCCUACGAGGGGAACUGAAGGAGGUGAAGCAGGCGGGAGCAGAGGCUAAAACAGAGCUGUAGGACUCUCAAGCAAAUGUUAAUACGUGUUCAAUAAAAGAAUAAACAGAAAAA